GUGGAAACAGGUGCUAAUACCGGAUAACAACACUAGACGCAUGUCUAGAGUAUAAAAGAUGGUUCUGCUAUCACUCUUGGAUGGACCUGCGGUGCAUUAGCUAGUUGGUAAGGUAACGGCUUACCAAGGCAAUGAUGCAUAGCCGAGUUGAGAGACUGAUCGCCCACAUUGGGAGUGAGACACGGCCCAAACUCCUACGGGAGGCAGCAGUGGGGAAUCUUCCACAAUGGACGCAAGUCUGAUGGAGCAACGCCGCGUGAAAGAAGAAGGGUUUCGGCUAGUAAAGCUCUGUUGGUAGAGAAGAAAGAUAGAGGUAGUAACUCGCCUUUAUUUGACGGUAAUUACUUAGAAAGCCCCGGCUAACUC
rnacentral:rRNA from 1 species